CCCCCACACCCUGUCCUGAGUCCUCUGCACUCCUCCUCCCACCUGGUGCUGCAAUUCAGACCACAGAGGAGAAAGUCCGAGAUCAGAACUGGAGACGCAGGACGGGAAUUAGCUGGGGGCAGCGGAGACACUUUGGAAGAUGAAGUAGAAAGUAAUGUGAGGUGUCUGCCUUUCCUGUUGGGGCCACAUUUGGAGCGGAUAAGGGACAGGAGAAGAAAUGAAGGAAGGCGCACGAGAAGAGCCUGGAGAUGGAGAUGCUUUGCUGUUCCACGCUGCAGGGGUAACGGGUUUCC
rnacentral:lncRNA from 1 species